rnacentral:misc_RNA from 1 species
GAUGAAGAACGCAGCGAAAUGCGAUAAGUAAUGUGAAUUGCAGAAUUCAGUGAAUCAUCGAAUCUUUGAACGCACAUUGCGCCCGCUAGUAUUCUGGCGGGCAUGCCUGUUCGAGCGUCAUUUCAACCAUCAAGCCCCCGGCUUGUGUUGGGGACCUGCGGCUGCCGCAGGCCCUGAAAAGCAGUGGCGGGCUCGCUGUCACACCGAGCGUAGUAGCAUACAUCUCGCUCUGGGCGUGCUGCGGGUUCCGGCCGUUAAACCACCUUCAUAACCCAAGGUUGACCUCGGAUCAGGUAGGAAGACCCGCUGAACUUAAGCAUAUCAAUAAGCGGAGGA